rnacentral:rRNA from 1 species
UUGGAGGGCAAGUCUGGUGCCAGCAGCCGCGGUAAUUCCAGCUCCAAUAGCGUAUAUUAAAGUUGUUGCAGUUAAAAAGCUCGUAGUUGAAUUUCGGGAUCAGUACGUUGGUCGUGCCUUAGGUACGUACUGGUGUUACUGGUUUCUACCUUCUGACGAACCAUCAUGUCAUUCAUUUGGUGUGGCGGGGAAUCAGGACUGUUACUUUGAAAAAAUUAGAGUGUUUAAAGCAGGCUCGCGCUUGAAUACAUUAGCAUGGAAUAAUGAAAUAGGACGUUGAUCCUAUUUUGUUGGUUUCUAGGAUUGACGUAAUGAUUAAUAGGGAUAGUUGGGGGCAUUAGUAUUCAAUUGUCAGAGGUGAAAUUCUUGGAUUUAUUGAAGACUAACUACUGCGAAAGCAUUUGCCAAGGAUGUUUUCAUUAAUCAAGAACGAAAGUUAGGGGAUCGAAGACGAUCAGAUACCGUCGUAGUCUUAACCAUAAACUAUGCCGACUAGGGAUCGGAUGAUGUUAUUUUUAAUGACUCAUUCGGCGCCUUACGGGAAAC